UGAACAUCCCCCCCACCCCCGCCACCAAACAGGUCACAGACCUGAUACUGAAAGUCCUGGAGGCUCUCCCGAAAAAAGAAGAUUGUCAGGCUACUGGACAGCUGCUCAACUCUUUUUUGGAAGAAUGCGGGAUGGACCUGGAGGAAGCCACCAGUGCUCUAGCCUACAUCCUCACCCUACCCGAUGCAGCUGAUGCUCUCCAAAGCAAAUUCCCCCACCUGCUCAUCGUUGGUCAUACAAAUUUAUUUAUUCCAUGAAGCAAGCAGAAUAGGUCCAGCAAUACCUUUCAGGUUUCAGAACAGAUCAACUUCUUGAUGUAAGGAAUCUCCUAGGCACAGUCUGGAUCCUUUCUCCAUUUCUGCAACGCUCGGCAGAACUGCCGUAGAAGCAGUCAAAAGUUUAAUAAAGUGUGCCGCCUAUCAGGAGCAAUUCAAGGCUUUGGAGACAUUGGGCUGCUGGGAAAUGUUAAGGACCCCUGGACGUUUAUUUAUUUAUUUUCCAUCUGGCACGGAGCUUGUUUGCAUCCUCGAUAGAAGAGCUUGAUAUCCUGGUUCAAGAGGCCUAUAAAUACAUCCGUCAUCCGGAUAUGAAGGAGAAGACCAUUGGGAUGGAUUUCUUCUCGGAGGUAUAUUCUACAAGCAGAGGCUUCAUAGCAGAAGCUAAUGGAAUUUGCUUUGAUUUGAGAGGCUGGCUAAAUCAUUCUUGCUUGGAAGAAUUCUGCCAUGUAUAAUGGGAUUAGCUUUCAAAGAAAUGUGUUUAAGAUCAAGAUGCUUAUUUGUUUUUCUAAUACAAAGGAACUUUCUAUGCUUGCUAAAGAUAUUAUUGUAUGCAUAUGUACAUGCAUUUCAUUAUCUUUAAUGAAACUUGGGAGGCAAAAAUAAUUCUUAUUCCAUAUACACAAAAUGAGCUACAUUUCCAUGAGUGACCAA